GGAAGUAAAAUCGUAACAAGGUUUCCGUAGGUGAACCUGCGGAAGGAUCAUUAUUGUAUAACCGAGGUGCGAGGGCUGUCGCUGACCCGAAAGGUCGUGCACGCCCGAGUGCCCUCACACACAUCCAUCUCACCCCUAUGUGCACCACCGCGUGGGUCCCCCUUUGGCUUGUUCGGAGGGGGGCUUACGUUUUCACACAAACUUUGUAUGCAGUGUAGAAUGUAUUUUUUGCUUUUGCGAUCACGCAAUCAAUACAACUUUCAACAACGGAUCUCUUGGCUCUC
rnacentral:misc_RNA from 1 species